rnacentral:tRNA from 1 species
AAGAUUUUAAGUUAAUCAAACUAUUAGCCUUCAAAGUUAAAUAUACUUUAAAGGUAAAUCUUA